ACUCCAUAAUGAAUGUACCGGAAUGUUUGUCAUUGGCCUUUUCAGUGCCUAUAAUUGAAAUACAACUUUCAGCAACGGAUCUCUUGGCUCUCGCAUCGAUGAAGAACGCAGCGAAAUGCGAUAAGUAAUGUGAAUUGCAGACCUCAGUGAAUCAUCGAAUCUUUGAACGCACCUUGCGCUCCUUGGUUUUAUUCCGAGGAGCAUGCCUGUUUGAGUGUCAUUA
rnacentral:rRNA from 1 species